CAUUCGAAUGCUGUAAUUUUAUCUAAACCAUCAGGUGUACGCCGAUCCCAGUUAAGUAACUCAUGCAAAGAGUUAAAGCGUAAUUAUGUGUUUUAUCUCCAGUACUCUGCCAUGAUUGUCAGUUAUGUAGCUGCUCUACUGAUAAUCUCAGUGCGUCCUUGCUGGGAUGACACAAUCAGUCUACUACCGGAGAAUAUCAACACCAAACACAUUGGUUCACCGUUCCACGGGAGCGGACAGUACACAGCAUACCAUAAUGUUCUGAAUAAUGGCCAAGUCUACCUCGCUCCUUAUUCUACUGAACCGCUCAGGCGUAACAAACACAAGUCCAACAUUUAUCGGAAACUGUUAAACUACCUGUUCACUACCCUCCUGCUCUCCGGGGAUGUACAACUCAAUCCUGGGCCCAAUAUCACCGAGCCAGUGAUACGCACCGGAGUGGAGAGCGGUGGAAGGCCUCGUCCACUGGUCGUCGCCGCUGUGGAGGUGGGCUUGUCCUGCUGUAGUCUCCACAACUGGAUCACACUGGCACGGGAUGUCCAUGCACUGGAUGGACUGAGGGAUGCACUCCUGUUGGACUGGAAAACAAAGAGACAUGGUCAGUGUCUGGAUCUUCAUCUUCUGCCAUGGUGGAUGAGUUACCUUUUCUGGUAAAUACAGGGCCUUUUCUCUUUCCCACCGGAAAAGGGCAGCUACAGACCCAAGUGUUGUCACUGGGUUUCCGGUCAAUCCCACCUGAAAGACAACAAAAGUUACUUUUACCAGCUAGCUAAAUUGAUUACUGAAAUGAUAUCUACAUUAAAAUACCAUAACCCACAGACUUGACUAUAGUAACAGUAAAAUAGACUGGGCUUUGGUCUAUCUUUACAUCUAAAAUCAUACUAUGUGGAUGGGAUAUUUCUGCUGAGAUGAAGGAAUUAUCUGGAAUGCUCAACUAGAUGAUCAGGACAGUCUAGGUUACUAUUUGCCAGAAGAGGUGAAGUAUUGCAAUGAGAUAUACAACUACUUCUGAUUCUAAUUCUCAAGAGGAAAGUUAAAACCUUCAGCCAUAAGGUCACUGAAGAGGACCAACAGUGAUAGGGGGAUUGUCUGAAAGGUACUGACAUGCAGGGAAAAUAACAUAAGGAUUUUGGGCACUGGCCAGCAGACCAAGAUUUCUACAUUCAGGUCCUAAAUCUGUGGCAUGCAAUGUUUACAAAGAAACAUUUUCAAUAAAGAGGUCACAACAUUCAUUAUGCUAUUAUAUGCUUGUUUUACUUGUAAGGAGGGUAAUGUGCAUUGUACAUGUAACUACAGUCUAUACUGAACUAUAUCUAUACUGAAAAAAAUCUAAACGCAACAUGUAAAGUGUUGGUCCCAUGUUUCAUGAGCUGAAAUUAAAGAUCCUUGAAAAGGUUAUUUCCCUCAAA